GUCCAGGGUAGCCUAGUGGUCAUGGUAACUGCCCGGUAAGGGAAGGUCGUGGGUUCGAUUCCCAUCCCUUGACA
rnacentral:tRNA from 1 species